rnacentral:tRNA from 1 species
AUUAGGGUCUGCUACACAAGCAGUUGGGCCCAUACCCCAAAAACGGACUAUACCCCCUAAUA